rnacentral:rRNA from 1 species
GACGAACGCUGGCGGCGUGCUUAACACAUGCAAGUCGAACGGAAAGGCCCUGCUUUUGUGGGGUGCUCGAGUGGCGAACGGGUGAGUAACACGGGAGUAACCUGCCCUUGACUUUGGGAUAACUUCAGGAAACUGGGGCUAAUACCGGAUAGGAGCUCCUGCUGCAUGGUGGGGGUUGGAAAGCUUCGGCGGUUGGGGAUGGACUCGCGGCUUAUCAGCUUGUUGGUGGGGUAGUGGCUUACCAAGGCUUUGACGGGUAGCCGGCCUGAGAGGGUGACCGGCCACAUUGGGACUGAGAUACGGCCCAGACUCCUACGGGAGGCAGCAGUGGGGAAUAUUGCACAAUGGGCGGAAGCCUGAUGCAGCAACGCCGCGUGCGGGAUGACGGCCUUCGGGUUGUAAACCGCUUUCGCCUGUGACGAAGCGUGAGUGACGGUAAUGGGUAAAGAAGCACCGGCUAACUACGUG